AUGAACGCUGGCGGCGUGCCUAAUACAUGCAAGUCGCGCGCACGGACGAGAAGCUUGCUUUUCUGAUGUUAGCGGCGGACGGGUGAGUAACACGUGGAUAACCUACCUAUAAGACUGGGAUAACUUCGGGAAACCGGAGCUAAUACCGGAUAAUAUUUUGAACCGCAUGGUUCAUAAGUGAAAGACGGUCUUGCUGUCACUUAUAGAUGGAUCCGCGCUGCAUUAGCUAGUUGGUAAGGUAACGGCUUACCAAGGCAACGAUGCAUAGCCGACCUGAGAGGGUGAUCGGCCACACUGGAACUGAGACACGGUCCAGACUCCUACGGGAGGCAGCAGUAGGGAAUCUUCCGCAAUGGGCGAAAGCCUGACGGAGCAACGCCGCGUGAGUGAUGAAGGUCUUCGGAUCGUAAAACUCUGUUAUUAGGGAAGAACAUAUGUGUAAGUAACUGUGCACAUCUUGACGGUACCUAAUCAGAAAGCCACGGCUAACUACGUG
rnacentral:rRNA from 1 species